GGAUGGGAGGGUGAUCUGGUGCAACAUCUGUUACCCCAUUGAUCACCAGGGUUGAUUCGGCUGAUCUGGCUGGCUAGGCAGGUGUCUUCUUCCUCACCUCCAUGUCCUUCCCUAAGCUAUGCACUUGGUCAAAGAGGAUGACUUCCCCAAUGGAGGAGGACCAUUCUUUGGUCAAGUGUAUACAAGUAGCUGCACUCCCCUGCUAGAAUCUCCAAACAAGCUCUCAAGGGCCAAAGUAUCUUCCAUAAAACACUAGUCCAUAGAAAUUUUAUUGAAAACAGAAGCCAAUUU
ensembl:misc_RNA 7SK 7SK RNA